UACGUAGGGUGCGAGCGUUGUCCGGAAUUAUUGGGCGUAAAGGGCUCGUAGGCGGUCUGUUACGUCAGGAGUGAAAACUCGGGGCUUAACCCCGAGCCUGCUUCUGAUACGGGCAGACUAGAGGUAUGCAGGGGAGAACGGAAUUCCUGGUGUAGCGGUGAAAUGCGCAGAUAUCAGGAGGAACACCGGUGGCGAAGGCGGUUCUCUGGGCAUUACCUGACGCUGAGGAGCGAAAGUGUGGGGAGCGAACAGG
rnacentral:rRNA from 1 species